GGUAAUUUCUGUUAAUUUAAUAGUGCGAUAGAGGGUAGAGAAGAAAUAGAGAACGAAAAUGUAUGUGUAUUUAGAGAGAUUAAGAGCUGAGAGAAGAUCAGAAGAGCGUAAGAGAGAAAGAAAGAUGGUGAGAUAGAGAGAAGUGAAGAGACAGAGAGAGAAA